AUGGCGUACGCCUGUCUGUUCAAGUACAUUAUCAUCGGCGACACGGGCGUUGGUAAAUAAUGCUUAUUGCUACAGUUUACAGACAAGAGGUUUCAGCCAGUGCAUGACCUUACUAUUGGUGUAGAGUCCGGUGCUCGAAUGAAAACUAUUGAUGGGAAACAGAUAAAACUUCAGAUUUGGGAUACAGCAGGUCAGGAGUCCAUCACAAGGACCUCGUUCCAUCACAAGGUCGUAUUACAGAGAUGCAGCAGGGGCUUUACUACUGUAUGAUAUUAUAAGGAGAGACACAUUCAACCACUUGACAACCUGGUUAGAAUAUGCCCGCCAGCAUUCCAAUUCCAACAUGGUCAUUAUGCUUACUGGAAAUAAAAGUGAUUUAUGUAAGGCCAACUGGCCCGAGGCAAGGGAACGCAAUCAGACUCACAGAAGAGAAGCUUUUGCACGAGAACAUGGACUUAUCUUCAUGGAAACUUCUGCUAAGACUGCUUCUAAUGUAGAAGAGGCAUUUAUUAAUACAGCAAAAGAAAUUUAUGAAAAAAUCCAAGGAGUCUUUGACAUUAAUAAUGAGGCAAAUGGCAUUAAAAUUGGCCUUCAGCAUGCUGCUACUGACGCCACGCAUGCAGCACGCAGCCAGUCAGGGAGGACAGCAGGCCGGGGGAGGCUGCUGUUGAGUCUGUUUUUACUGUCUCGCUGCCCAGAAGGGGCUACUCACCUAUUCUUUCACCCACCUGCUCAGCUGAGACAUGAAACUCUUCGAAAUGGCUUUAUGUCACAGAAGAAGACUUUAAUCCUUCAAAUUCUUGUGUAACUUUGAAUAAGUGGUUAAUGUUCACUUAAAAAGACAGAUUUUGGAGAUUGUAUUCAUACCUAUUUGCAUUUGAUUUCUAGGUCAAUUGACGUGAUUAUUUUUGUUCAGUGUUGUCUUGUGCCCUUACCUACGAACUGAAUUGUAUUGAACACUACAAAGUCAUCCUGAAUAUUUUAAAUCGGUUUGUGUAGUUAGGUUUCCCCACAUCUGUGGUUACCUAAUGUUUAAUAUUAUGGAAUUGUCCUCAGAAGUUUGUCAAUUUUCAAGGCUAUAAGGAAAACAGAAGGACUCUUUUAAUUCUGUAUUUAUCAUUUACUUUCUGUAUAUAUAGUUUAAUAACCUGCUUGGGUGUAAUUUGCCAAGCUUGGAUUCUUUAAUGCAUUUGCGUAAAGUCUAUACUGUUUAGAGCUUAAAGCUACAGAAGCAUCGUUAGGAAUUGCUUGGACACUGAAUUUUAAACUUUUUGACAUUGUUAACAAGCAUGUUCAUCUUUUUCUUGUCACUAGUCCGAGAGAAAUAUGCUUCAUGUACAUUCUAAAGGCUAUGUAUGUGUUAACCUGUUUUAAUGCCAAAAGUUUGCUAUUUGUCCACAGUUCCUUUAAGACCUCUUCAGAAAAGGAUUUAUUUGCCUUAAUGCAUACUGUUGGGUAAAAACACAGUAUAAUGAGUGAGGUGGGUGGAAGAAAGAACUCCCCCCCGCCCGAGAGACUCCAGGAGGAGUGAGUGUCCACAUUUAGAUGGCACAUUACGAGGACUUUAAUCUUUCCUUGAACACAAUCACGUUUUCUUUUUCUUUUAUUCACAUGACUUCUAAGUAUAUUUUUCUCACAGGACAGUUUUUCAACCUUGAUGUACAGUGACUGUGUAAAAUUUUUCUUUCAGUGGCAACCUAUAAUCUUUAAAAUAUGGUGAGCAUCUUGUCGGUUUUGAAGGGGAUAUGACAAUAAACCUACCAGAAGGAAAAUCCUGUUAAAAGUAGAAAAGCUUUAGUAAUUUGCUCAGUGUGGUGGUUUUAUCCUUCUUUUUCUUUUUCUCCCUUGGACUAUAAUGAAGUUGUUAUAGCAGUGCAAAAUAAAAUCCUAUGUAU